GGGGAUUUAGCUCAGUGGUAGAGCACUCGCCUAGGAAGCGCAAGGCCCUGGGUUCGGUCCCCAGCUCCG
rfam:Rattus norvegicus chromosome 14, whole genome shotgun sequence.